UACGUAGGGUGCGAGCGCUAAUCGGAAUUACUGGGCGUAAAGCGUGCGCAGGCGGUUUUGUAAGACAGAUGUGAAAUCCCCGGGCUUAACCUGGGAAUGGCAUUUGGGACUGCAAGGCUGGAGUGCGGCAGAGGAGACUGGAAUUCCUGGUGUAGCAGUGAAAUGCGUAGAUAUCAGGAGGAACACCGAUGGCGAAGGCAGGUCUCUGGGCUGACACUGACGCUCAUGCACGAAAGCGUGGGGAGCAAACAGG
rnacentral:rRNA from 1 species